rnacentral:lncRNA from 1 species
UCCUCUUCAUGUCCAAGGAGUUGGACGUUCAUCUGGUGCAAGGAAAAGGCAUGGUGAUGCCUGGAAUAGGAAGGCUACAGGACAUCUUCGACAGGCUACUGUUUCAAUUUCAGAAGGAGUUCUGAAGUACUUUCAAAUCAGAUAGAGAUCUAAUUUUUGGAGCAUAUAUUCAUGAGGAGAAGAUGUUCCAGGUUCUGCCUGAGUGGAUAUCGAUAGAGGCCAGGCGCUUGCAUGGCUACAUCAAAAACUCGGGCUAUGCUGAGAUCAUCUACAAGGUAAUCAGAUUACCCUUGAGGUAUGUCUAUACUUCUCAU